rnacentral:rRNA from 1 species
AUUGAACGCUGGCGGAGUGCUUUACACAUGCAAGUCGAGCGGCAGCAUGGGGGCAACCCUGGUGGCGAGCGGCGAACGGGUGAGUAAUACAUCGGAACAUGCCCAGUCGUGGGGGAUAACACUUCGAAAGAAGUGCUAAUACCGCAUACGUCCUGAGGGAGAAAGCGGGGGAUCUUCGGACCUCGCGCGAUUGGAGUGGCCGAUGUCAGAUUAGCUAGUUGGUGGGGUAAAGGCCUACCAAGGCAACGAUCUGUAGCUGGUCUGAGAGGAUGAGCAGCCACACUGGGACUGAGACACGGCCCAGACUCCUACGGGAGGCAGCAGUGGGGAAUUUUGGACAAUGGGGGCAACCCUGAUCCAGCCAUUCCGCGUGAGUGAAGAAGGCCUUCGGGUUGUAAAGCUCUUUCGGCAGGAACGAAACGGCGAGCUCUAACAUAGCCUGCUAAUGACGGUACCUGAAGAAGAAGCACCGGCUAACUACGUGCCAGCCGCCGCCGUAAAAC